rnacentral:lncRNA from 1 species
GAGAAGAGCACAGGGUGCUGGAUCUCUGGCCCACCAUACCAGCAUAGCAAUAAGGUUCUUGGCUGGGAGGUUUUAUUGACUGGCCUCAUUGUAACAUCUUGCCUGAGCAGUUGUAAAAAAGAUUUCAUUAUGGUGGUGAGUUAGAGCUUUUU